CCACCUUUGAGCAAAUUAUGUAAUGCUAAACUUCUCCAAAUCUGUUCUGAUGAACAAACAAACUCAUAUUUUCAUUUUUGGACGAACUAUUCCUUUCCAGGCUUUAGGGUGGGUUACACAGUACGCUAUAAAGCUAGACGUGGAAAUGACUUCAGUGCUGGAGUCGUUAAUGCAGACGAUCUCAAUGAUGCUCAAUCAUCUCCUCAAAUGCUGCCAGUGAAUGUUUCAGUGACCAUAUCUGGUAUGACGGCUCCAAUGAACACUCGCAACCAACUAGGAGCUCGUCACAUGGACCCAUACUUCACUUAUGGCAAUGCAUUAGCACCCGUUUAUGGAUGGGGAGGGAACAGGUAUCAGCUUUGGGACAGAGAUGAGCAACACGAGGAGGAAGAGAGGGAUUCUCGUCUUAAGGGGAAAAAGAAGAAAGCAGAAAGAAGGAGGAGGAAAAGAUCCCGUCAUGCUGGUCAUUAGAAGGGCUAAAGAUCUGACCAGCAUGUAAAUAAAUAAAUAAACCAUUUUAAUUCCAAUGUA
ensembl:lncRNA